GAUGAAGAACGUAGCGAAAUGCGAUAAGUAAUGCGAAUUGCAGAAUUCCGUGAGUCAUCGAAUAUUUGAACGCACAUUGCGCCCUCUGGUAUUCCGGAGGGCAUGCCUGUCUGAGCGUCAUUGUCAACCCUCAAGCUCAGCUUGCUGUUGGGUCCCCGUCGUUGCUUUAACGGCGGACCCGAAAGGUAAUGGCAGAGUCCGUGAGACCCUAGACGCAGCGAGCUUCUAGCACGCGUCUGGACGUUUUUCGGGCUCGGUCUUAACUAGAUGAUAACUUCCGAUUGACCUCAGAUCAGGUAGGGAUACCCGCUGAACUUAAGCAUAUCAAUAAGCGGAGGA
rnacentral:misc_RNA from 1 species